rnacentral:rRNA from 1 species
CAUGGAGGGUGAGAAUCCCGUCCGGUUGAUCAUUGCGUUCUACGAUACGCUUUCUAAGAGUCAAGUUGUUUGGGAUUGCAGCUUAAAAUGGGAGGUAAAUUUCUCCUAAGGCUAAAUAACGGCGAGAGACCGAUAGCGAACAAGUACCGUGAGGGAAAGAUGAAAAGAACUUUGAAAAGAAAGCCAAAUAGCACGUGAAAUUGUUGAAAGGGAAACGAUUGAAGUCAGUCGUACCGGUGAGUAAUCAGCCGUUUGGGUGCGAUUGUGUUGGGUGGUGAGGAGCUUAACCGCCUUCACGCCUGCAUAUUCGUGCUCUAUUGGUGUAUUUACUCGCAUGGUCGGUCAGCGUCAAUUUUGGUCGUCAUAAAAUGACGGGAGGAAUGUAGCUUUGAUCUCGUAUUAAAGUGUUAUAGCCUCUGGUAGAUGUGAAGACUAAGAUUGAGGAUUGCAACGAACCCUUCGGGGCCACUCGUCUGGUCUCUGGUGGUUGCUUUGGUGCCGAAAGCGUGCUUAUGGUUAUCAAAGUCGAUGGUCAACAGGUUAGAACGGGUUAAAUUCGUUAAGGAUGUUGACGUAAUGG